rnacentral:tRNA from 1 species
UCCCUGGAGGACUAGUGGUUAGGCUCGAGUGCUCUCAUCGCUGCUGCCUGGGUUCAAUCACUGGCCAGGGAA